AUGAAUUGUGGUUAGGAGCGAAAGACUAAUCAAACCCCCUGAUAGCUGGUUCUUUCCGAAAUAUAUUUGGGUAUAGCGUCGGACGCUGACCUAUGGAGGUAGAGCACUAAAUAAGCUAGGGCUUCUAACGAGGUACUGAACUUAAUUAAACUCCGAAUACCAUAGGGUGUAGUCCGGCAGUCAGACUGCGGGUGAUAACGUCCGUAGUCGAGAGGAGAAUAAUCCAGACCAUCGGUUAAGGUCCCAAAAUAUGGCUCAGUGGAAAAGGAUGUGAUUUUGCUCAGACAAUGGGGAUGUUGGCUUAGAGGCAGCCAUCAUUUAAACAGUGCGUAACAGCUGACCCAUCGAGCGAAAUUGCGCCGAAAAUGAUCGGGACUCAAGCCAUAUACCGAAGCCAUGGGCUUCUCGCAAGAGAAGCGGUAGGAAAGCGUUCCAAUUGCAGCGAAGUGCCAGGGAAACCAAACAUGGAGCGAUUGGAAGUGAGAAUGCAGACAUAAGUAACGAUAAAGCCGGUUAAAAUCCGGCUCGCCGUAAGGAUAAGGUUUCCUGGGCAAGGCUCGUCCUCCCAGGGUCAGUCGGGAGCUAAGGUGAGGCCGUAAGGAGUAACUGAUGCACAGCAGGUUAAUAUUCCUGCACCGAUCUACGACUAUCCUAUAGAUGACGGAUUGAGAAAGUCAACAGACCUGUCUUGACAAGGCACUGCGAAGCCACGGCUUAGCGGGAGUUGAUGGAAUCGGUCCCAAGAAAAGUCUAUAGGGAACUACGUGGGUUGCCCGUACCGCAAACCGACACAGGUAUCCGGGAUGAGUAUUCUAAGGCGCGUGAGUUAAAUCUCUCUAAGGAACUCGGCAAAUUGACCCCGUAUCUUCGGUAUAAGGGGUGCCCCGUGAGGGGCCGCAGCAAAGCGCGUCAACCGACUGUUUAGCAAAAACACAGCUCUCUGCAAAGUCGCAAGACGACGUAUAGGGAGUGACACGUGACCAAUGCGGAAAGGUGAAAGCGUGAGGUGCAAGCUUCGCGUCUAAGCCCCCGUGAAUGUCGGCCGUAACUAUAACGGUCCUAAGGUAGCGAAAUUCCUUGUCGGGUAAGUUCCGACCCGCACGAAUCGUGUAACGAGUUGACGACUGUCUCGGAGAGAGGCUCAGUGAAAUUGUAGUGGCGGUGAAGAUGCCGCCUACCCGCAGCAGGACGGAAAGACCCUAUGCACCUUUACUGUAAGCUGUUAUUGUCGCUUGAUUUUCAAUGCGUAGAAUAGGUGGGAGACUUUGAAGCCUCGCUCCAGGGCGAGGCCGAGUCGAAAUAUGAAAUACCACUCUUUGUUGAUUAGGCGUCUAACCUCGAGCCAUUAUCUGGCCGUGGGACAGUGAUAGCAGGUCAGUUUUUCUGGGGCGGAAUCCUCCAAAAGAGUAACGGAGGAUUACGAAGGUUCCCUCAGCCCGGUCGGUAAUCGGGCUAUAGAGCGCAUGAGUAUAAGGGAGCUUUACUGUGAGACAUACAAGUCGAGCAGUUGCGAAAGCAGGUUCAAGUGAUCCGGUGGUUGAAAGUGGAAUCGCCAUCGCUCAUCGGACAAAAGGUACGCUAGGGAUAACAGGCUGAUCGCGCCCAAGCGUUCACAGCGACGGCGCGGUUUGGCACCUCGAUGUCGGCUCAUCACAUCCUGGGGCU
rnacentral:rRNA from 1 species